rnacentral:rRNA from 1 species
CAGCGCGCUGAGCCGAUCGAGGACCUGCUGGAGCGUCUGGAACUACAAGAGGAUGAGGAGGACCAGUUUGUAUGGGAAGAAGAGUUCCACGAAGAGCAGGUCGCGGCGAAGUGGUUGGCGAUCGCGAAGGUGCACACAGAGAAGGGAUUCAGCCCAUCUGCCUUGUAUGCUGACAUGAGAUCGGCAUGGAACCCGGCGAAAGAACCACGGUGGCGCAAGAUCGAGGACCAUCUGCUCACGGUCCAAUUCGAUUGCUUAGGAGAUUGG